rnacentral:rRNA from 1 species
GACGAACGCUGGCGGCGUGCCUAAUACAUGCAAGUUGAGCGCUGAAGGUUGGUACUUGUACCAACUGGAUGAGCAGCAAACGGGUGAGUAACGCGUGGGGAAUCUGCCUUUGAGCGGGGGACAACAUUUGGAAACGAAUGCUAAUACCGCAUAAAAACUUUAAACACAAGUUUUAAGUUUGAAAGAUGCAAUUGCAUCACUCAAAGAUGAUCCCGCGUUGUAUUAGCUAGUUGGUGAGGUAAAGGCUCACCAAGGCGAUGAUACAUAGCCGACCUGAGAGGGUGAUCGGCCAAAUUGGGACUGAGACACGGCCCAAACUCCUACGGGAGGCAGCAGUAGGGAAUCUUCGGCAAUGGACGAAAGUCUGACCGAGCAACGCCGCGUGAGUGAAGAAGGUUUUCGGAUCGUAAAACUCUGUUGGUAGAGAAGAACGUUGGUGAGAGUGGAAAGCUCAUCAAGUGACGGUAACUACCCAGAAAGGGACGGCUAACUACGUG